UGUCUUCUUCAGUCAAUUUGCUGUGUUUCAUUAAGCCAUCAGCAAAAUGUUGUGACACGUGUCUUCUUCUUGAAGCGCCAUGUUUUGAUUAGGGUUAGCCAUGUUCUUCUUCGUCGCCUCUCCAGAACUCAUGUCCAUUAGGUGUUCGCUCUGUAAUAGCUUUUUCAUCUUCUUCCUCAGAAACAAAAACGAUACAAGUUACGAAAUAAUCCUCUUUAAAACCUUUAUUAAUCUCUCCCAUACUUUGACCAAAAAAAAAAAAUCUCUCCCAUACAAUCUAUAUUCAAUGCAAUUUUUUAUUAUGCAAGGCGGUGGAGGUUCAUCUAUAAAAUGUAUUUUUCUCCGAUUUGUGGAUGGGCUCCUCCUCCUCCACUGUUGAAGUCCGGUUGCUCUGUUUCUGGGAGGCCAAAAAUGUCCGCCGUGGUGAAGAGCUCAUAGGAGUGGAUAUGUUGGUACCGAGAAUCAGGACUGGUAAUUCACAUGGAUUUGCAAUUGUUCGAUUUAAAUAUAAAAAACAAAGCUCACGAAGCAGUAGAAAGGCUUGAAGAAUGCAGCAGUAGAGUUUGUGUGGGUGGUGAAGGCGAAAGAAAAAGUUGUAGCAGAUCAUCUCAAGCUGGAGAUUAUUGGGGUUGGUAAGAAGAAGCUUCAUGAAGCAAAAGUGUGGGUGAAACCAUGGUUGAACUUCAAGGAGUUGCAGGAGUUCAAGCUUACUGGUGAUGAUGAUGUUCUUCCCAUUACUCCCUUCCAUCUUGACUGCACAUAAGGGCUGUGUUUGAUAUCUAUGGAAUGGCCCGAGAAAGAAAAAUCAUGGAGCAUCAAGGAUCAGAUUUGAUGUGGGGAGAAAAUGAGCUUAUGGCUCAAGAAAUAUGUUCUUUUUCUCACCAACUCAUUAACACAAAUCUUUAGCAUCUGUUUCAUGUCUGAUCUUGGAGUCAUUGGUGAGAUUCAACAUGUUGGAAAGAGGUCUACUUGGAUAGAUUCAUCAUCACUCGAAUGAUUGUUAUCAGCAAUGGUGAACAGCAUCAACACGAUGACUGAAGCUCUAUGCUUUUCUCAGAUUUUCAUACUCUGUGCUUUGGUAGUCUCAGAGUCUAAGAACAAAAAGAUGACGACAGAGACAACAACAAAACCAAGUCUUUGAAGAGAAACAGAGACAACAACAAAGCCAAGUCUUUGAAGAGAAACAGAUACGGGACAGGAAGUCACUUCUGUAUUUUUCACCAUCUUAUGGAGGGUUAAACCAGAAACUAGCAAAACAGGGACCAAGCGGAAAAUCCGAUGAAGUCAUAGCAGAACAUUUGUCUUUAAGAGCUGAAACAAUGAAUCUUGAAAGUUAAAACAAUUCCAUUUCCCGCAUUUGUCAAAAGAACCAUAACUUUUUUUUUGUGCAAGAAAAAGAACAAGUUAUUAAUCAA